GGAUGAAUCUAUCAGUUGUGCCGAUAGCCCUGCUAUAUCUUACCCACAACUAACUGUUGAUGUUGGAUCUAAGGUUUCUGAUAUUGACAUGAACUCUGAGCCUAAUGGAAACACUACUCCUGAUGUUACUCCGCCAGAAAACCGAGUAGAGACUGCUAGUCACAAUGUGCCAACAGGAGUAAAUGAUGUAUUCUGGGAACAAUUCCUUACUGAGAACCCUGGUUCUACUGAUGUAAAGCCGGAGAGAGAAGAUAUGGAGAGCAAAAUAAGUGAAUCCAAAACAGUUGAGGAUGGGAAAUUUUGGUGGAACAGGAAGACUGUAAUUAGCCUUACAGAACAGUUGGGACAUCUUACUCCAGCAGAGUGAAUGUAAUGUGGCAGGGUAUGUACUAUUUUUGAUAGUAAAUGUUUAUUUGCCUGUUUCUUGUUGUAAAUUUAGAGAAAGUGAUUUGUCUGAGUACAUAGAAUUUUGGUAUAUUAACCUUCUUUUUUUUUGUUUUUGCAUGACAUGAUAUAGUGAAUGAUAGAGUCGAUCAGUCUUAAUGCUAGUCUGGCACAAUUUC
rnacentral:misc_RNA from 1 species